AUUAUGGCCGGAUCAGUUCCAGGUGUUUCAAUCCGACCAAGAAUGGCAGUCUGCUCCAGAGAGGGAGAUGCCUGAAGCUUGUCAAGGACAAAAUAAUAUCUUUCCGAUUCAGUUGCCAGUCGCUGACCAGGUGAGUGGUACGAUAGGCAUUGUUUAUGCAAUGUAGAUUGCUCUGGUUUUGCCUAAAACGAAAGAGACAAAUUGAUAGCAGCAGCGGCCAUCAAGAAUAGGUGUGCUUACAUUUCUUGUCAUCUAUGUCUACAUUUCUUGUUUUACAGAAAUCAUUACGUUUUAUGGCUGUUGCUACAUUACAGAAAUCAUUACGUUUUACAUAAAUUAUUUUGUGAUAUGUGUAGUAUAAGUUGACCUGCCGUUUCAGAAUGUACAUUACAAAUAUCAGUUUGUGAUAUGUGUAGUAUAAGUUGACCUACCGUUUCAGAAUGAUUAGCACAUAAUCCAGAAAAUUGUGGUGUCUGUUGGGUUUUACUGGACGAACAAUAUUUUUUUCAGUGGACCUGAUGAUAGCUCACACCUAACACAUAUAGAUGCAGCUCAGAUUAGUCAGUAACCAUUCAGAGAAUGGUUGUUAGUUUCAGCCUACGUAGAUAAAUGGUUACUUGCAUUAGCGGCAAGAACUUUCCCCAAAACAUCCUUUAACAUAUUUUCUUUAAUAAUCUACCUUUUUGGAAUAUCCUGCAAUCCUACUAUCUCUAGAAAUAUCAAACAGUUUAAUAAAAAUAUAUAUACAACUGAAAUAGAAAUCAGUAUGUGAUUGGUUGGCUUGUGGUUUCUAUUAUAGUCGUACGACUAAAUUUUCUAAAUAAAAGUUCAUUGGAUUGGUUGAUGGUACAUGUUGAAAAUUCUAUCGAAGUAUGGUUGAUGUUCAUUAGAUCCAGCUAAUCUUUUGAUUUUUCCUAUAAGUUUUUAAAUCUUCCGUAUAUAGAUAUAUAUUUUUUGUUGCAUGUACGUUGAACUUCUGGUUGAUGGGAACUGUUCAAACGAGGGUAGGAAAUUUAAUGUGACGUAUGUGUAUUUUCUGUGGUGGUUGCUGAUAAUAUUUGCUGCUAAUGGCAUGCUGCUAAUUAAUUGUACAAUGGCGAGGCUCCAACUAUGGUAUGGCCCAUUGGAUCUUAACAAAUGUCAUUGCUAGAAUAUCUUUUGUUAUAUUGACUAAUGUACUUGUAUUUUUAUUUGCAGUUCUCAAAGGAUAUAAGAAAGUUAGGAGAUGCAAUCACAGGGUGAUGAUAACUGUUCAUCAUCAAUCCUAUUCAGUUCUUUUUGCUGCUGCAUUUCAUAAAAGUAUCCUGUUAGUUAAUUAGUUGUAACUCUUCAUGAUUUAGAACCUAAUUAGAACUUGCCCCAACUAUAAGAUGCAAGAAUCAGAACUAAAUGAAAAAUGAAAAGAGGUAUUUAAGUGUAUUUAAUUAUUAUAUAUGUGUAAGUGUAUUUAACGUUUUGUUUCUCUUUUCUCGGCAUCUCUCUGGUUGCUAUUUCUUCAGUGCUUGGGGUUGCAGGAAGAAGAUGUUUCAGAGUUGGAGCAUAGGGUUCAGUAGUGGUGCUGGUUCUCGAAGUCCCAAGGUUGCACUCUCACUUAUUAUCUACCAUGCCUCUCUAAACCGCGUCGUUCUGCUUGAAUCCCUUCAGUGGUUCACACUGCCUCUCUGCUUGUUUGUUCCAACGAUUUACCUCUUCCUGGGGUUCUGAUGGAAUGAUGGUUGUAGUGGGUUGCUGUAGCGGUAAGACAUAGCUGAUCGAGUGGUGGAUGGUCCUGACCACAACUUGCCUGGAGGUUGUGCCCUGCAAGGCUGCAACACCUCGGUUUGGCUACUGAAGGUAUGAUGCGCCAUCCUGAUCUCACUUAAGGUCAGCUUUUUGCUGCAUUCUGAUGAUACUCUACCCUCUCUCUCUCUCUCUCUCUCUCGGAGUAGACUAUAUGAUGCUCCAUCCUCAUCUCACUUAUUUGUCUAAUGUUAUAUGGUGGAUUCAUCUAUCGUGUUGAAUAGUCAGGCCUAAUAUUGGAUGAACUGGAUGACGCGGUGUCGGCCAGGAGCAGGUGUUGGAGCGCGUCCGCGAGGUGGGCGGCGACAUGGGGGAUGACCCAUGAGCGCGACGGAGGAGGAAGAGACGACGUCGGUGGCAGGCGAGAGGAGGCACUGCAAGAGCGCGUCCCGUGGAGGAUGGCGACAGCCAGUCUUUGCACAAGAGUUCGGAUGUCCAGGCGGGUACGCAUGGAACCAUUGUAUUGGUCUGUUGGCCAUCUUUCUCAAUGGUUUUCAAAACAGCUGGAAUUAAAAAAAGGGUGUGCUGUCCAUGGAAAGGCUUUCCGCUGGCGUUUCCUUUAGUCUGAGUGGAUGUUUUAUUCUGCAUAUGAAAUGUACGGGCGAGAAAGACUUGGAACAUUGCAUUUUCUUCGGAUCAAAUGGCCUCAGACGGAAAUGUUCCAAAGGAAACCGUACGCAUAAAUUUUCUUCAGAGUUCCCAGUGGACUUGGCCUUCACUUGUAACUAACCUUCUAUAUUUUCGUUGCUCGCACUUGGAUGGAUACUAUCUGACAUGAAUUGUGUAACUUGAGGAACUUUCUCCA